CACAUGGGUGUAUACUGCAUACUGUUUUUUUGUCAUUUUUGGUUUAACAGGUAUUUCCCAUGAUUCAUUCUUCACAAUGUCUUGAGAGUUAGUUUUUCUUUUAAUUAUUUUUAAUUAUGUGUAUAUUGAGAGGUUGGUUUUUCACAGUGUCAUGACUAUCAAAGCCAGAAGAGGGAAUCCAAUCCCCCAAAACUGGAGUCGCGGGUGGUAUCUAAAGUAGAAGCCAAGACCUGAACUCUGGUCUUAUUCAAGUGUAGCAUUCAAGGGCAUUUCUCACCUUCUCUUUAGCACAUGAAAAAAAUACUUAAUCUAGUUGCAUUUACCCAAUUACAUUUAGAGACUUUGUAUUCUCUUUAAGAAGCCCUUUACCCACAAUCAUAAAGACACUCUAGUGUAGAAGUUAUUUACUCUUGCGUUUCACAUUCAGGACUACCUGGGAUUUCUUCAUUAGAGCCAUGUGAAAUCAAGACAUACAAGAAUAGUGUAUCUUGCUGCUGCUUAUUUCUUCAAGGAAGAACUCUUGUGAAGCUAACUUCUCAUCUUUGUACGUUCAUGCAAAAACACAAGAGGAGCAUAAAAUCAGUCUUGGCAAAGUAUUACCUCAGCACCACUUCGUAGAGAUGGAUGAAGGGACCUUGUUUUGGUACUCUGAUUGGCUGAUGUCCUCAAAGUCAAAUAGUCUCACGGUGGCUCCAGUGUUUCCAAACCUGUCCUGGGCAGCCACAAACUUUGAGGGCCUUUUAACUGUACCAGAGAUUCAAUUUUCCCCCAGGAAACUAAUGUUUACAGUCUGUGGCCACUUGAAAUUUGUUAACAUCAACUGAGUCUCUCAGGCUACACAUUAAGUUCUGCCUUCCUUGUGGAGUAUUUGAAUAUCUUCUGUGUGUCGUGUAUAUUGCAUGGUAGCACACACUAUCUCCGGCUGAAUAUAGCUUGCUGCCAUAGGUUGCCAGUUGCCAGAGGGUAGAGCGUACUAACUUGUGAGCCAGAGUACUAAACCAACACCUUCCUAGGGGGUGGCAGCUGUUCAUCAGGGACAGUUAGGUUCCUAUGAGCCCGAGCCAAGACCUAAAGGUUGGGAGUUUUAGCAUGAAGGGAGUUGAACAUGAACUUGAAGACACUAAGGAUCCCAGAGCUAUGUGAACAGCACAAAUGAAGACUAGGGAGCAGCAUGUCUUGGAGAAAUCAAAUGUUAAGAGUGACAACAAGGGUCAGAAAGGAAAUGAAACCAAAAAAUAAGGUCAAGUCAGGACAAGGGGAGUCCCAUCAGCCUGGUGAAAGUAAACAAUUUGGAAGGUAACAGGGCUUCCUAGGGGC
ensembl:lncRNA